AUUGAACGCUGGCGGCAGGCUUAACACAUGCAAGUCGAGCGGGGUGAUGGUGCUUGCACUAUCACUUAGCGGCGGACGGGUGAGUAAUGCUUGGGAAUCUGCCUAUUUGUGGGGGACAACAUCUCGAAAGGGAUGCUAAUACCGCAUACGUCCUACGGGAGAAAGCAAGGGAUCACUUGUGACCUUGCGCUAAUAGAUGAGCCUAAGUCGGAUUAGCUAGUUGGUGGGGUAAAGGCCUACCAAGGCGACGAUCUGUAGCGGGUCUGAGAGGAUGAUCCGCCACCCUGGGACUGAGACACGGCCCAGACUCCUACGGGAGGCAGCAGUGGGGAAUAUUGGACAAUGGGGGGAACCCUGAUCCAGCCAUGCCGCGUGUGUGAAGAAGGCCUUAUGGUUGUAAAGCACUUUAAGCGAGGAGGAGGCUCUUUUGGUUAAUACCCAGAAUGAGUGGACGUUACUCGCAGAAUAAGCACCGGCUAACUCUGUGCCAGCAGCCGCCGUAA
rnacentral:rRNA from 1 species